UACGUAGGGCGCAAGCGUUGCUCGGAAUCACUGGGCGUAAAGCGCACGUAGGCGGAUUGUUAAGUCAGGGGUGAAAUCCUGGAGCUCAACUCCAGAACUGCCUUUGAUACUGGCGAUCUUGAGUCCGGGAGAGGUGAGUGGAACUGCGAGUGUAGAGGUGAAAUUCGUAGAUAUUCGCAAGAACACCAGUGGCGAAGGCGGCUCACUGGCCCGGUACUGACGCUGAGGUGCGAAAGCGUGGGGAGCAAACAGG
rnacentral:rRNA from 1 species